rnacentral:tRNA from 1 species
GGACGCUUAGCUCAGAGGUAGAGCAUUACAUUCACACUGUAGGGGUCACAGGUUCAAUCCCUGUAGCGUCCACCA